rnacentral:rRNA from 1 species
AAACACAAUGCAAGUCGGACGGUAGCACAGAGGAGCUUGCUCCUCGGGUGACGAGUGGCGGACGGGUGAGUAAUGUCUGGGGAUCUGCCCGAUAGAGGGGGAUAACCACUGGAAACGGUGGCUAAUACCGCAUAACGUCGCAAGACCAAAGAGGGGGACCUUCGGGCCUCUCACUAUCGGAUGAACCCAGAUGGGAUUAGCUAGUAGGCGGGGUAACGGCCCACCUAGGCGACGAUCCCUAGCUGGUCUGAGAGGAUGACCAGCCACACUGGAACUGAGACACGGUCCAGACUCCUACGGGAGGCAGCAGUGGGGAAUAUUGCACAAUGGGCGCAAGCCUGAUGCAGCCAUGCCGCGUGUAUGAAGAAGGCCUUCGGGUUGUAAAGUACUUUCAGCGGGGAGGAAGGCGAUAAGGUUAAUAACCUUGUCGAUUGACGUUACCCGCAGAAGAAGCACCGGCUAACUCCGUGCCAGCAGCCGCGGUAAUACGGAGGGUGCAAGCGUUAAUCGGAAUUACUGGGCGUAAAGCGCACGCAGGCGGUCUGUUAAGUCAGAUGUGAAAUCCCCGGGCUUAACCUGGGAACUGCAUUUGAAACUGGCAGGCUUGAGUCUCGUAGAGGGGGGUAGAAUUCCAGGUGUAGCGGUGAAAUGCGUAGAGAUCUGGAGGAAUACCGGUGGCGAAGGCGGCCCCCUGGACGAAGACUGACGCUCAGGUGCGAAAGCGUGGGGAGCAAACAGGAUUAGAUACCCUGGUAGUCCACGCCGUAAACGAUGUCGACUUGCAGGUUGUUCCCUUGAGGAGUGCUUCCGGAGCUAACGCGUUAAGUCGACCGCCUGGGAGUACGGCCGCAAGGUUAAACUCAAUGAAUUGACGGGGGCCGCACAAGCGGUGGAGCAUGUGGUUUAUUCGAUGCAACGCGAAGAACCU